AUAAUGCUUUAUACACAGCUAAAUAAAAAUAAAAAUAAAAAUAAAAUGAUAGUAAUAAUUACAAUUUUAUUUUAUUUUUUAUAUUCAUAUUAAUAAAUAUAAUAUUUAUUAUUGUUAUUGUUAUUAGUAGCAGUAUUACUAUUAUUAUUACAAUAAAUAAAAUAGCAUAUAUUAUACCAUAUAAUAUGUUAAAAUAUAUAAUUUUGCACUGUUUAUAUAUGGCCAAUUUGCAUAAAAUUUUUACUGAUUUUGCGUUUAUGCAAAAAUAGUCUACUGUGUUGGGUUUUGCCGAUUAGGUCUAUAAUUUUAAUAAACUAAUCAAAAUACUAAUAUUUGUCUUUUUCUCCCUUUUAUCUCUCGUUCAUUUCUCCUCCCUCUUUGCCCCCCUCAUUCUCACCCUUUCUUACUUUCUCUCUCCUCUCUUUUCCUUUCCUUCAUUCUCAACAUUUCUUCUUUUAACAUCCCAAUAGUCUUAGAUCAAAUAACGUGGGAGAGUAUGAUUGGUUUAUAAGUAAUGGACACACUAGUUAUAAUAACUGGGUUUAAGCAUUUUGGGACGGUGGUAUGGACCCAACGAGUUAUUAUUAUUAGCGAGCCGGGUCUUUACAUUUGAUAUCAGAGACGGAUAACAAGCCAAAAGUUUGAGAUGGAUCUCACAUCGCCUAGUGAAUUUGGAACUAUAUGUAUCAUUCGGCUGGGCUGACGAGGACAUCAGGGCCUAAACGAGGGGAGUAUGUGACAUCCCAAUAGUCCCACAUCAGAUAAAAUGGGAGAAUUAAUAAUGGACACACUAGUCAUAAUAACUGGGCUUCUCUCUACCCCACUCUCAUGCUACCGUACUCCUCCACUACCCCACUCUCAUGCUGCGCUUCUCUCUCCUACCCCACUCUGACGGUGUGCUUCUCUUUCCUACCUCACCCACACCUUCGCAG
rnacentral:lncRNA from 1 species